CGAAGAGACCAUUACACACCACGUCCAUUAUGGCAGCUUCAAAAGAACAGGACAGCUGAACUGUGACGUGAUCUGAGGAAGCCGCCCAGGUGAAAUGCGUCAUCAUGUUUGUGUGUACAACGCCAUCACGCCAUCACGCCAUCACGUGGUUGUACGAAGAACUCCCUGCAGUGCUGACAACUUUGCAAGACCGCUAGUGCUAGUCGCAGUUUUGAAAGACUGUACUACUAAGGGGUAUGA